rnacentral:rRNA from 1 species
GACCAGACUCCUACGGGAGGCAGCAGUGGGGGAUAUUGCACAAUGGGGGGAACCCUGAUGCAGCGACGCCGCGUGGGUGAAGGAGCGUUUCGGCGCGUAAAGCCCUAUCGGCAGGGAAGAAGGAGGACGGUACCUGACUAAGAAGCCCCGACUAACUACGUGCCAGCAGCCGCGGUAAUACGUAGGGGGCAAGCGUUAUCCGGAUUUACUGGGUGUAAAGGGGGCGCAGACGGCAGCGCAAGCCAGGAGUGAAACCCCGGGGCUCAACCCCGGGCAUGCAUUGGAAACUGGCGGGCUGGAGUGCCGGAGAGGUAAGCGGAAUUCCUAGUGUAGCGGUGAAAUGCGUAGAUAUUAGGAGGAACACCAGUGGCGAAGGCGGCUUACUGGACGGCAACUGACGCUGAGGCUCGAAAGCGUGGGGAGCAAACAGGAUUAGAUACCCUCGUAU